rnacentral:rRNA from 1 species
AGAGUUUGAUCAUGGCUCAGGAUGAACGCUAGCGGCAGGCUUAACACAUGCAAGUCGAGGGGCAGCAGGGUAGUAAUACCGCUGGCGACCGGCAAACGGGUGCGGAACACGUACGCAAUCUACCUUUAUCUGGGGCAUAGCCCGAAGAAAUUCGGAUUAACACCCCAUAAGAUAUUAGAGUGGCAUCACUCAGAUAUUAAAUCUCCGGAGGAUAGAGAUGAGCGUGCGUCCCAUUAGCUAGUUGGUAGGGUAACGGCCUACCAAGGCGACGAUGGGUAGCUGGUGUGAGAGCACGACCAGCCACACGGGCACUGAGACACGGGCCCGACUCCUACGGGAGGCAGCAGUGAGGAAUAUUGGGCAAUGGACGCAAGUCUGACCCAGCCAUGCCGCGUGAAGGAUGAAGGCGUUCUGCGUUGUAAACUUCUUUUAUUAGGGAAGAAACCUCCGUUUUCUAAUGGAGCCGACGGUACCUAACGAAUAAGCACCGGCUAACUCCGUGCCAGCAGCCGCGGUAAUACGGAGGGUGCAAGCGUUAUCCGGAUUCACUGGGUUUAAAGGGUGUGUAGGCGGAUAUUUAAGUCAGUGGUGAAAUCUCCAGGCUCAACCUGGAAACUGCCAUUGAUACUAUUUAUCUUGAAUUCUGUUGAGGUGGGCGGAAUACAUCAUGUAGCGGUGAAAUGCUUAGAUAUGAUGUAGAACACCGAUUGCGAAGGCAGCUCACUAAGCAGACAUUGACGCUGAGGCACGAAAGCGUGGGGAUCAAACAGGAUUAGAUACCCUGGUAGUCCACGCCCUAAACGAUGAUUACUCGACAUACGCGAUACACAGUGUGUGUCUGAGCGAAAGCAUUAAGUAAUCCACCUGGGAAGUACGACCGCAAGGUUGAAACUCAAGGGAUUUGACGG